CGCUCCCCUCCCCUUCCCUCCCGCGCGGGCCGGUUAAUUCCUAGGUACACGGCCGGCUUUCGCGGAGAAACCGAGCGCGCCAGCCCGGCUUCUCGGCUGGCGGGCGGGCGGUGGGCGCGUCCUCCCCCAGCACCGAAGCCCGCGCCGGGCGGGCGGGAGUGCCUACUCCGGAGGACGCCCGCCGCCUGCUCUCUUUUGUUCUUGGCCCGGAGCUGCCUGCCGCAGCCCAGCCAAUCACCACCCGGCCGCCCCCUUCCCCUCCCGUCCGUGCCACUCUGGGGGUUCUCCCCACUCGCGCCCCCCGCUCCCACGCCCACCUCCCGCUGACUCGACCCUCUCCUGGCUACCCCCAGCCAGCCACUUCCGCGGCUGCUCUCUGGCUUGUGAACAAGACAAGGAUAUCUGCUAUCACCUCUUCUAUUCAAGAUUGUAUUAGAGUUCUUAGCCUGGAAAAUAAGGAGGCCGAGGCGGGCGGAUCACGAGGUCAGAAGAUAGAGACCAUCCUGGCUAAUCCGGUGAAACCCUGUCUCUACUAAAAAUACAAAAAUUAGCCAGGUGUGGUGGCACGUGCCUGUAGUCCUAGCUACUGAGGAGGCUGAGGUAAGAGAAUCGCUUGAACCUGAGAGGCAGAGGUUGCAGUGAGCCAAGAUUGCACCAUUGCACUCCAGCCUGGGCGACAGAGCAAGACUCCGUCUCAAAAAAAAAAAAGAACUGCCAAGCUAUAUUGCACAGUGGCUGUAAUCAUUUUAUAUUCCUAUCAGCAAUGUGUAAGAUUGUUUUGGAUCCUGCUUUUUAGUUUUACUGUAUUAUUAAAACACAAUGGAGUCAGAUUUUAUUCUACAUUUUGGAAUUUAUGUAGGUUUUCUUUAUGGCCUUACAAAAGAUUGAUUUUUAUAAAUGUGUUGGUACUUGAAAGUAUUCACUAUGCUCAGGAUAUAGAAUUCAAACUUAUUGAUUAUAUAAUUCAGAGCCUUUAUAGGCCUACUUAUUGUGUCUAUCAUGUGCAGAGUAAAUGAAUUAUAGUCUCUUACUGCUAUUAUGUUUUUGGCAAUUUCUUCUUAUUUUCUGCAGUUUUGUCUUAUGAAUUUUAUUUAUUGCAGAAAGAUUCAUGACUGCUAUUACUUCACUGUGGAUUGUUCCCUUUAACAUUUUAAAGUCUCUCUCUGUUUUGCAAACUACUUUUAAAAUUUAAUUUAACCUUACCCAAUUUUAAUAUUACUAUCCUUGUAUUCUUUUGGCUAAGUUUUUAAAGAUUUUUAUUAUGGAAAUUUUCAAACGUGCAAAAAUAUGAAAAGAAACCAGUAUAAUGGAUAUACAUUGUAUUAUACAGUUUUAGCAAAUAUCAACUGUUGGACAAUCUUGUUUGUAUUCUGUACACAUCCUUUAUACCUAGGUUACUUUGAAGCAAAUCCCUGAUAUUAUAUAAUUUCAUCUGUAAAUAUUUCAGUGUGUAUCUCUAAAAGAUAAA
rnacentral:lncRNA from 1 species